rfam:Oscillatoriales cyanobacterium TSR001 contig_16, whole genome shotgun sequence.
UGGUAGAUGCACCCUGGUUUGAACCCUAGAGACUUUUCUCUGGGGUUUUUUUAA